CAGUGAGGACCUGUCCGUCUCUGGCACGGGGUGUCUGAUUCUCCUUCGCUGUGGCGGGAAGCUGGCCGGAUUUGAAGGCCUCCACUGCUCACUGCUGUGCCUUGAUCAGCCUGGACAAGCCCGCCUACACCUCCAUCAUGCCCAGUGUGAAGAGGGGCCAGGGACCCACCACUCCUGAGAACAGCAUCCUUGGGAAGACCCAGCUGUGAGUGCACAGCAGGCACAGUCCCUCAGGCCCAGAUUGCUGACAGAACUGGAAUCUCCUGCUUGGUGGCCCUUUAGCUCCAAGCUUUGGAAGACACCACCGGAAACAAAGCCCAGGGAAGAUGUCUCCAUGACCAGUUGUGAACCCUUUGGGAAAGAAGGGAUACUGAUAAAAAUUCCUGCCAUUAUUUCCCACAGAACAGAGUCUCACGUUAAACCAGGGAGGCUCACCGUCCUUGUGUCUGGGUUGGAAAUACAUGACUCCAGUUCUUUGCUCAUGCACAGGUUUGAAAGAGAAGACGUGGAUGACAUCAAGGUCCACUCACCUUAUGAAAUUAGCAUCCGCCAGCGGUUUAUUGGAAAGCCAGACAUGGCCUAUCGUUUGAUAUCUGCCAAGAUGCCAGAGGUUAUUCCCAUUUUAGAAGUGCAGUUCAGCAAGAAGAUGGAGCUGUUAGAAGAUGCAUUGGUGCUCAGAAGCGCAAGAACCUCUUCCCCCGCAGAGAAGAGCUGCUCAGUCUGGCAUGCAG
rnacentral:sRNA from 1 species